rnacentral:rRNA from 1 species
AAUCUCCGGUGCCUGCACCGGCGAAUUGUAGUCUGUAGGGCCAGUUUCGCCCGAGACGGUGUCCCCAAAGUCGUCCUGGAAAGGCGGGCCGGAGAGGGUGAGAGCCCCGUGCGUGGGGGCAUCGUCGGAGGUAAGAUCUGUGCCCGAAGAGUCGGGUUGUUUGGGAUUGCAGCCCAAAAUGGGUGGUAAACUCCAUCUAAAGCUAAAUACUGGCACGAGACCGAUAGCGAACAAGUACCGUGAGGGAAAGAUGAAAAGCACUUUGAAAAGAGAGUCAAACAGUACGUGAAACCGUCAGGAGGGAAACGAACGAGGUUGGUGCAGUGAUCACGCAGGUUCAAGCACUGCCGAAGGUGCCGACACGGUGACGAAGAUCGUCCCGUGCCGUCCGCCCGAGGCGGUGCCGUACUCCUCGUGAGCGCGGACCAGCGGCGGUUGGACCGGAGCCACAAGGCGACGGAGGAAGGUGAGUCGACACGGGCCAGUCCUGUGUCGACAGCUUACAGCCCCGUCGUACGGUGCUCAGGCCCGACCGAGGAAAUCGGGCAGCCCUUGCCCACCACGGCACACGCCGAAUGGCGGGGCCUCCCGGUGCGAGUGAACCGUGCGGUGUGGACUGCAUGCAGUGCAAAUCGUGGCGGCGAUCUCGUG